GAUGAACGCUGGCGGCGUGCCUAAUACAUGCAAGUAGAACGCUGAAGGAAGGAGCUUGCUCUUUCCGGAUGAGUUGCGAACGGGUGAGUAACGCGUAGGUAACCUGCCUGGUAGCGGGGGAUAACUAUUGGAAACGAUAGCUAAUACCGCAUAACAGUAGAUGUUGCAUGAUAUCUACUUAAAAGGUGCAAUUGCACCACUACCAGAUGGACCUGCGUUGUAUUAGCUAGUUGGUGAGGUAACGGCCCACCAAGGCGACGAUACAUAGCCGACCUGAGAGGGUGAUCGGCCACACUGGGGCUGAGACACGGCCCAGACUCCUACGGGAGGCAGCAGUAGGGAAUCUUCGGCAAUGGACGGAAGUCUGACCGAGCAACGCCGCGGGAGUGAAGAAGGUUUUCGGAUCGUAAAGCUCUGUUGUAAGAGAAGAACGAGUGUGAGAGUGGAAAGUUCACACUGUGACGGUAUCUUACCAGAAAGGGGCGGCUAACUACGUG
rnacentral:rRNA from 1 species